rnacentral:lncRNA from 10 species
GCCACCAAGUGCUUCAGAUCAUCACAUGAAAUGAGAGCGGCACACACCCCGCCACGCGUCUCUUGCCCGGGACUCAGAAACCUCCAUGGACAGGCUGUGACCAAGGGUCAGCUCCCAAGUGGAAAAUGAUUGAGACUCCCAGACGGAGUCUCUCACUUUCUUGCUCAGGCUGGAGUGCAGUGGCACAGUCUCGGCUCACUGCAACCUCUGCCUCCCAGGUUCAAGCGACACUCCUGACCUCAUGAUCCACCCACCUCCACCUCCCAAAGUGCUGGGAUUACAGGCGUGAGCCACCACGCCCAACAAAAAUGUACUCUUCACAUGGAGAGUCAAAUCCAACCAAAGAUGAAAUUCCUCACCUGUAACUAUUUGCAUGAUUUUCACGGGCCUGCCUGGCCCAGGCACUAUUCUUUUCCCAGUGACUGGAACAUUAAUGGGAACACUGAUGGGUGUAAGAAAUGUGUUAACAUAAAAAUGUUUUAUUUUCCCUUCUUGACUUUCAUAAAUAAGGCAGGUUUCAAUACGGGGACACUUGAAGCAAAGAAAGAUCAAAAUGAAUCUCAGUGUUCCUUCAACGGCGGCCAAACAUCUCUUCUUGUGUGAGAAUGUCACAGUGAAGAUGUCUCAGUUUCUUAGUCUCUAUUAGAAAUUUAAAAUUAUUAUUAUUUUUAAAGGCUUCAGUCCAAUUUCUCAGAGACUUCACCUGAAAAUGGAGGCACUGAAAAAGCCAUGAGGAGCUGAAAACAAGCAGAGUAUUUUGAGAAGCCCAGAAAAUGUUUCCUAGCCCUUCUCACACCGUGCGUCAGUGCAGGGCACGGCACUAAAUUCAGGUGGAAGCAGUGAUUCCUCACCUUGGGUCCACAUUAGAACCACCUAGGAUGCAUUUAAGAAUCCCAAGGCCCAGCCGCCAACCCCCACCCCAUCCCGAUUUGGGUUCUCUGGUGUCUGACACACCCCAGGACCUCAGAUUUUGUUUGGGACUCCCAGGUAUUUCUGACAUGUAUCCAUGGUUCAGAACCACUGGUUUAAGGAAGCAUAAUCAUACCAUUUGCGAUCUUUCAUUGUGCAGAUUCCUAAAGGAAAGCCCUGUGUCCUGCAGGCCUUUGCUACCCAGUGUGAGUGGGCCUUAACCCGGCAGCUUUGAUGAGAGAGAGAGAGAGAGAGAAAUGAUUUUUGGAGUUCCUGGAGGACAGCACUGUCCAGCAGGACUUCCCAUGAUGAUGGAAAUGUUCUUUACCUCUGCUGCUCAGUACAGUAGCCACCAGAGGCCUGUUGCCGUUGAGCACUUGCAGUGUGGCUCAUGCAACUGAGGAACAAAAUGUUUAACCUUGUUUAUCUUUAAUUUAAAUCUGCAUUUAAAGAACCAUAUGUGAUUAGGGGCUCCAAUAUUGAGCAGAGCAGACAGAGCGUACUGAGGGGCCGACUUGGCCAACAAAGGCCCUAGAGUUUCUUCCAUGGUGUAGAGAGAACAUUGCUUCUGCCUUUGGCAAAGGUCAUGAGGCCGUCUGCCCUGAAACAGACGGGAUGCUUCAGAGCAACGGUUCUCAAAGGAUAGUCCCAGAGCCAGCAGCAUGAGCAACAGCAUCACUGGGGAACUUGUUAGAAAUGCAGACUCUCAGGCCCCAUCCAGACCUCCUGAACUAGAGCCUGCAUUUUAACAAGAUCCCCAGGUGAUUUCUGUGAAUAGUCAAGUGUGAGAUGAGCUGCCAGUAGCUCUCUGCUCUGCUCUUCAGAAGACAAGAAGCAGGUUGCACAGAAGCCUUGUCCAGGAGGUCACUCUAUAUUAAGUCAAGGGUAUCCGUGUGUAUUACAAGACUUGCCAAAUGUGGACAGACAAGAGUUAUGGAGAGCAACACAUUUGAAACUGGGGAUAGAUUGGUACAGUUUAAAGGGCAAAAGGGUCAUCUUUUAGUUCCAAUAAGCCUUUGUUUUGAUGGGGCAGAGGAGAAACUAGAGAGCUCAAUUAAAAGAUAAAGAUUUAACUCAAGGUGUUUCCUACUUGAUUUUCAAAUUCAUUCCAGUUGUUUCUUUAGAAGGGGACUCACAUCAGAUAUCUUGCUAGUAUAGAAAGUUCCUAAGCUGUACUGACAAACAAAACAGGCCUGUAGCCCUGCGACACUGUGCUUUACUUGCAAGAUAAGGGGCUAAGGGAAUGGGGGACAAAAAACAAAAAAAAACCUCAACCAAGAAACUCAACACAUUUAAAAAAGGGGGCAGAAAAUAGGACAAGGAAAAAAGUGGUUUAUGUAACAGCAAUUUUUUGUAAUAAGUGUGGGGACGGGUCCCAUCGGGACGACAUUAGGCUGUUAAUUUUGAAAUAAUCAUUGGAACCCAGCUGGAUAGCAGCAAGAUUUGACGCCAGGAGCAAACACAGCCAGGAAGUGGAGGAGCAGAUGACUCAGCCCACAGGGCACCAGAGGCGGGGAUAAUUUCUUUGCCCAGGGGAGUAGCAGUAGUCAUCUGUUGUGUAGGCAUUACCAAGUUCAAUUGUGUGAGCGAGAAUGGAAAUCUGUUCUUCUGCAGCUUGUGAAAGAAAUUAAUCACAGCUCUCUGCAUGACAAAUUUUGGAUUUUAGUUCACACAGUCCCUGAAUUUUCCUUCAGGUUAAAUUUUCCUUUCCUUGGGACCUCGUGUUGCCUUUACUACAGCCCAACUCUCUCUUGCCCAUUUUGCACCCCAAUCCAAAUAUAAAACAAAACAACUGGGAAUUGGUUCUAAAUGCCCCUUUCACAUCUGCUCAGGCCAUCAUUACAGAAUUUCAUUUGCAAAAAAAAAUCCAGAUGAAACCAAAUGAGGCAUUUUAUUCUGGCAUUUCAUUUUAUUCUACAUACAGAUAACGACAGGGCAGUGAGGAGUUUUGGUCUGUGGCCUCUUCCCAGGACUAACAAGAGCCUGACACAAGAAAACACACCCUUGGUGCUUUUAUUAAUAACUUUUUUUUUUUUUUUUGAGAUGGAGUCUUGCUCUGUCGCCAGGCUGGAGUGCAGUGGCUCGAUCUCGGCUCACUGCAAGCUCUGCCUCCUGGGUUCAAGCGAUUCUCCUGCCUCAGCCUCCUGAGUAACUGGGACUACAGGCACGCGCCACCAUGCUCGGCUAAUUUUUGUAUUUUUAGUAGAGACAGGGUUUCACCAUGUUGGCCAGGAUGGUCUCGAACUCUUGACCUCUAGUGAUCUGCCCACCUCAGCCUCCCAAAGUUCUGGAAUUAUAGGAGUGAGCCACCGUGCUCGGCCUUAAUAACCUUUUAUAUGUUGGGUACGGUUUUUCACCUUUGUAAUCCCAGUGCUUUGGAAGGUCAAAGCCAGAGGAUUAUUUGAGGCCAGGCUUUGGAGACCAGCCUGGGCAACAUAGCAAGACCCUAUCUCUACAGAAAAUUUAAAAAUUAGCCAGCCAUGGUGGCAUGCACCUGUAGUGUAGUUCUGGCUACUUGGGAGGCUCAGGCAGAAGGAUCACUUAUGCUCAGGAGUUCGAGGUUGCAGUGAGCUAUGAUCGUACCACUGCAUUCCAGCCUGGGUGACAGUGUGAGACCCUAUCUCUAAAAAAAGAAACUAGCAAGAAAUAAAAAAUAGCAUAACCUCUUAUAGUCCACCACCAAAACAAGGAUACAGAUAAAAAGUCCAAAAUUGUGUGAAAGCACAAUGCUCAAAAAUCUUUCCAAGACUACUCUCAUGGAAAACUAAAAUGAGUGUAGGUUUAGAUUUAUUAGCUUAUUAACACAUUAAUCAGUAAGAUGGUAAAUGUAGCUCAAAAAGCAUGUUGAGGACAUCAGGAUGUAUAGGUAUAUACAAAGACUGUGAAGAGUGCUAGAUUUGAGACUAAUGAAUGAGCUCCAAUGCAACCACACUCAUAACCUCUCGCAGUCUUCAUUACCUGAUUCAAAUGAUUUGCCUUUCCCAGACAAGAUACACAUGUUGAAGUGUAACUUCAUAAAGUGUGAGUCCUCCAUCAACAGUAAAGAGUGAGUCAGAGGUGCACUCCCUUAGUUCACACAACAAUCCUUGGGUGCGUCUGUUGAGCAAUGUUUCAGUAUGCCACUGAAAGGAGAAACUAACCUUAACCCUAACCUUAACCCUCUCUUGUCUUUAUUUCCAAGUGUUGGGUAAUUGUGUGAAACUCGUGCUGGUUUCAAUUGAAAUCAUUCGUCAUACAUGCAUGUUCACAAGUGCUUCAGCUAAGCAGGCCUGAAAUGCCUUUAGUUUCCUGGAAAUUUCGUUAAAAGCCUUUGUCCUUCCUAAAAUGUCCCCUUUUGAAAUCCUAUACUUCAAAGUAUCAGCCUUAUACUGUAUACUUAUGUACAGGGUAAGAUAUUAAUUCAAAGAAACAAUGCAGGCAGCUAAAUUCCUUUCAUCUAAACAUGCCUUUCUUCUUUCUCCUUGGUGCUACAUUUCACUCAAAGCUGCAGGAAAGUAUACAGGAAAAAUGAGCUGAGUGUGUUCUGCAAAUAGGUCAGGCUGAAGCAGGAAUGUUUUCCUGUGCUGAAUUAAAAGUUUUCUGUUUCAUUUAUCAGUAGAAUUAAAAGUUCUCUGAUGUUUCUCUAAGUGUCAUACAUAUACAAAACAGUGUAAAAUUGAAAAAAAAAAACCCACAUGCUGUAUUGUCCAUUUCUGUUCUUUGGGACUCUACAGUUUAAAAAAGAAAGAAAUUAAAGAAUUUUGAAAAUAAAAGUUAUCUUCAAAUAUUAUCUCUCUUCUUAAUGAAAUUUUUUACCUUUAAAGCAGAUGCAGCAAAGACAAACUUUGGUUAUUCUUUUUAAAGAGAUAUAAACUGAUUUGUUUCAUGCUUAUAUGAACCUGAUUUCUCUAUAUUUGUUUUGCCACUUAUUAUAGAGGAGUAUUUGCCUUUAUGAC